GGUGAACGCUGGCGGCGUGCCUAAUACAUGCAAGUCGAGCGAACGGACGAGAAGCUUGCUUCUCUGAUGUUAGCGGCGGACGGGUGAGUAACACGUGGAUAACCUACCUAUAAGACUGGGAUAACUUCGGGAAACCGGAGCUAAUACCGGAUGAUAUUUUGAACCGCAUGGUUCAAAAGUGAAAGACGGUCUUGCUAUCACUUAUAGAUGGAUCCGCGCUGCAUUAGCUAGUUGGUAAGGUAACGGCUUACCAAGGCAACGAUGCAUAGCCGACCUGAGAGGGUGAUCGGCCACACUGGAACUGAGACACGGUCCAGACUCCUACGGGAGGCAGCAGUAGGGAAUCUUCCGCAAUGGGCGAAAGCCUGACGGAGCAACGCCGCGUGAGUGAUGAAGGUCUUCGGAUCGUAAAACUCUGUUAUUAGGGAAGAACAUAUGUGUAAGUAACUGUGCACAUCUUGACGGUACCUAAUCAGAAAGCCACGGCUAACUACGUG
rnacentral:rRNA from 1 species